UACAGGGGGUGCAAACGUUGCUCGGAAUCAUUGGGCGUAAAGCGCACGUAGGCGGUCUGUUAUGUCGGAUGUGAAAGCCCUUGGCUUAACUGAGGAAGUGCAUCCGAAACUGGCAGGCUAGAGUACGGUAGGGGCAGAGGGAAUUUCCGGUGGAGCGGUGAAAUGCGUAGAGAUCGGAAAGAACACCAACGGCGAAAGCACUCUGCUGGGCCGACACUGACACUGAGAGACGAAAGCUAGGGGAGCGAAUGGG
rnacentral:rRNA from 1 species